rnacentral:ribozyme from 1 species
UAGUAUAUUUCGUAUUUUCAUCUGAUAUCUCUGUAUGUUCGCCUACCUGAUGAUAUCUAGGAAGUUUCUCGUUUCAACUGAUAUCUCGGCAUUUUCAAUUUACUUCCAAAACGGAGGCACGCCAACCAGUCGCUAUCCCAUUCAA